UCGACUUGGAGGUUGUUCCCUUGAGGAGUGGCUUCCGGAGCUAACGCGUUAAGUCGACCGCCUGGGGAGUACGGCCGCAAGGUUAAAACUCAAAUGAAUUGACGGGGGCCCGCACAAGCGGUGGAGCAUGUGGUUUAAUUCGAUGCAACGCGAAGAACCUUACCUGGUCUUGACAUCCACAGAACUUUCCAGAGAUGGAUUGGUGCCUUCGGGAACUGUGAGACAGGUGCUGCAUGGCUGUCGUCAGCUCGUGUUGUGAAAUGUUGGGUUAAGUCCCGCAACGAGCGCAACCCUUAUCCUUUGUUGCCAGCGGUCCGGCCGGGAACUCAAAGGAGACUGCCAGUGAUAAACUGGAGGAAGGUGGGGAUGACGUCAAGUCAUCAUGGCCCUUACGACCAGGGCUACACACGUGCUACAAUGGCGCAUACAAAGAGAAGCGACCUCGCGAGAGCAAGCGGACCUCAUAAAGUGCGUCGUAGUCCGGAUUGGAGUCUGCAACUCGACUCCAUGAAGUCGGAAUCGCUAGUAAUCGUGAAUCAGAAUGUCACGGUGAAUACGUUCCCGGGCCU
rnacentral:rRNA from 1 species